rnacentral:lncRNA from 1 species
AAAACCUAUAUAUCUAUAUAUUUAUAUGAUCUAUGAUGCGUCUUUUUGCACCUCCAGUUUCUUAAAUACCUAGUAGUAUUUCAUCGAAACAUUUAAGUCAUAAUAAACGAGUGACCGAUGAAAAAUAAUGUUAUUCCAAUUCUUGAACCAAUGCAUACAAACAUCAUAAACUUAGUCUUCUGUGUACGAUUUUAUCAUUUUUAUACGACCGC